UGGGGAAUUUUGCACAAUGGGGGAAACCCUGAUGCAGCGACGCCGCGUGAUUUAGAAGGCCUUCGGGUUGUAAAAAUCUUUUCUAUGGGAAGAAAAUGACAGUACCAUAGGAAUAAGGACCGGCUAAUUACGUGCCAGCAGCCGCGGUAAUACGUAAGGUCCGAGCGUUGUCCGGAAUCAUUGGGCGUAAAGGGUACGUAGGCGGGUAAGCAAGUUAGAAGUGAAAUCCUAUAGCUCAACUAUAGUAAGCUUUUAAAACUGCUCAUCUUGAGGUAUGGAAAGGAAAGUGGAAUUCCUAGUGUAGCGGUGAAAUGCGCAGAUAUUAGGAGGAAUACCGGUGGCGAAGGCGACUUUCUGGCCAUAACCUGACGCUGAGGUACGAAAGCGUGGGUAGCAAACAGG
rnacentral:rRNA from 1 species